rnacentral:rRNA from 1 species
UACAGAGGUGGCAAGCGUUGUUCGGAAUUACUGGGCGUAAAGGGCGCGUAGGCGGUUCGUUAAGUCCUGUGUGAAAUCCCCCGGCUCAACUGGGGAACUGCACAGGAAACUAGCGGGCUUGAGUUCGGGAGAGGGAAGCGGAAUUCCGGGUGUAGCGGUGAAAUGCGUAGAUAUCCGGAGGAACACCGGUGGCGAAGGCGGCUUCCUGGACCGACACUGACGCUGAGGCGCGAAAGCUAGGGGAGCAAAGCGGG